ensembl:processed_transcript
UACCUCUGCCUCCCACCACACAUGCACACUUUGGACUCGACUGCUUUAAACCAUAUCAUGAAUUAGGUAUUUGAGCAUUGUGCUGAUGUGUAGCCUGAUGUCACGCUGGGCCUGAAGGGGCCUGAAGAGCUGAGAAAGAAGGCUGCAGAGGGAAAAUACAAGUCCAAAAUAGGCCUUGUUACAAGUGACUGCAAAAAUCCUUUACAUGCUGUCUGCAAAGAUGUCUAGUGGAUCUCAAAUGAGCAACAAGACAUCCCCUAAUACAUCUCCACAGCCCCCUCUAAGUCCAACAGCACAGUC